AUUGCACUCUGGCGGCAGGCCUAACACAUGCAAGUCGAACGGUAACAGGAAACAGCUUGCUGUUUCGCUGACGAGUGGCGGACGGGUGAGUAAUGUCUGGGAAACUGCCUGAUGGAGGGGGAUAACUACUGGAAACGGUAGCUAAUACCGCAUAACGUCGCAAGACCAAAGAGGGGGACCUUCGGGCCUCUUGCCAUCAGAUGUGCCCAGAUGGGAUUAGCUAGUAGGUGGGGUAACGGCUCACCUAGGCGACGAUCCCUAGCUGGUCUGAGAGGAUGACCAGCCACACUGGAACUGAGACACGGUCCAGACUCCUACGGGAGGCAGCAGUGGGGAAUAUUGCACAAUGGGCGCAAACCUGAUGCAGCCAUGCCGCGUGUAUGAAGAAGGCCUUCGGGUUGUAAAGUACUUUCAGCGGGGAGGAAGGGAGUAAAGUUAAUACCUUUGCUCAUUGACGUUACCCGCAGAAGAAGCACCGGCUAACUCCGUGCCAGCAGCCGCGGUAAUACGGAGGGUGCAAGCGUUAAUCGGAAUUACUGGGCGUAAAGCGCACGCAGGCGGUUUGUUAAGUCAGAUGUGAAAUCCCCGGGCUCAACCUGGGAACUGCAUCUGAUACUGGCAAGCUUGAGUCUCGUAGAGGGGGGUAGAAUUCCAGGUGUAGCGGUGAAAUGCGUAGAGAUCUGGAGGAAUACCGGUGGCGAAGGCGGCCCCCUGGACGAAGACUGACGCUCAGGUGCGAAAGCGUGGGGAGCAGACAGGAUUAGAUACCCUGGUAGUCCACGCCGUAAACGAUGUCGACUUGGAGGUUGUGCCCUUGAGGCGUGGCUUCCGGAGCUAACGCGUUAAGUCGACCGCCUGGGGAGUACGGCCGCAAGGUUAAAACUCAAAUGAAUUGACGGGGGCCCGCACAAGCGGUGGAGCAUGUGGUUUAAUUCGAUGCAACGCGAAGAACCUUACCUGGUCUUGACAUCCACGGAAGUUUUCAGAGAUGAGAAUGUGCCUUCGGGAACCGUGAGACAGGUGCUGCAUGGCUGUCGUCAGCUCGUGUUGUGAAAUGUUGGGUUAAGUCCCGCAACGAGCGCAACCCUUAUCCUUUGUUGCCAGCGGUCCGGCCGGGAACUCAAAGGAGACUGCCAGUGAUAAACUGGAGGAAGGUGGGGAUGACGUCGAGUCACCAUGGCCCUUACGACCAGGGCUACACACGUGCUACAAUGGCGCAUACAAAGAGAAGCGACCUCGCGAGAGCAAGCGGACCUCAUAAAGUGCGUCGUAGUCCGGAUUGGAGUCUGCAACUCGACUCCAUGAAGUCGGAAUCGCUAGUAAUCGUGGAUCAGAAUGCCACGGUGAAUACGUUCCCGGGCCU
rnacentral:rRNA from 1 species